UUAAGCGACUAAGCGUACACGGUGGAUGCCCUGGCAGUCAGAGGCGAUGAAGGACGUGCUAAUCUGCGAUAAGCGUCGGUAAGGUGAUAUGAACCGUUAUAACCGGCGAUUUCCGAAUGGGGAAACCCAGUGUGUUUCGACACACUAUCAUUAACUGAAUCCAUAGGUUAAUGAGGCGAACCGGGGGAACUGAAACAUCUAAGUACCCCGAGGAAAAGAAAUCAACCGAGAUUCCCCCAGUAGCGGCGAGCGAACGGGGAGCAGCCCAGAGCCUGAAUCAGUGUGUGUGUUAGUGGAAGCGUCUGGAAAGGCGCGCGAUACAGGGUGACAGCCCCGUACACAAAAAUGCACAUGCUGUGAGCUCGAUGAGUAGGGCGGGACACGUGGUAUCCUGUCUGAAUAUGGGGGGACCAUCCUCCAAGGCUAAAUACUCCUGACUGACCGAUAGUGAACCAGUACCGUGAGGGAAAGGCGAAAAGAACCCCGGCGAGGGGAGUGAAAAAGAACCUGAAACCGUGUACGUACAAGCAGUGGGAGCACGCUUAGGCGUGUGACUGCGUACCUUUUGUAUAAUGGGUCAGCGACUUAUAUUCUGUAGCAAGGUUAACCGAAUAGGGGAGCCGAAGGGAAACCGAGUCUUAACUGGGCGUUAAGUUGCAGGGUAUAGACCCGAAACCCGGUGAUCUAGCCAUGGGCAGGUUGAAGGUUGGGUAACACUAACUGGAGGACCGAACCGACUAAUGUUGAAAAAUUAGCGGAUGACUUGUGGCUGGGGGUGAAAGGCCAAUCAAACCGGGAGAUAGCUGGUUCUCCCCGAAAGCUAUUUAGGUAGCGCCUCGUGAAUUCAUCUCCGGGGGUAGAGCACUGUUUCGGCAAGGGGGUCAUCCCGACUUACCAACCCGAUGCAAACUGCGAAUACCGGAGAAUGUUAUCACGGGAGACACACGGCGGGUGCUAACGUCCGUCGUGAAGAGGGAAACAACCCAGACCGCCAGCUAAGGUCCCAAAGUCAUGGUUAAGUGGGAAACGAUGUGGGAAGGCCCAGACAGCCAGGAUGUUGGCUUAGAAGCAGCCAUCAUUUAAAGAAAGCGUAAUAGCUCACUGGUCGAGUCGGCCUGCGCGGAAGAUGUAACGGGGCUAAACCAUGCACCGAAGCUGCGGCAGCGACGCUUAUGCGUUGUUGGGUAGGGGAGCGUUCUGUAAGCCUGUGAAGGUGUGCUGUGAGGCAUGCUGGAGGUAUCAGAAGUGCGAAUGCUGACAUAAGUAACGAUAAAGCGGGUGAAAAGCCCGCUCGCCGGAAGACCAAGGGUUCCUGUCCAACGUUAAUCGGGGCAGGGUGAGUCGACCCCUAAGGCGAGGCCGAAAGGCGUAGUCGAUGGGAAACAGGUUAAUAUUCCUGUACUUGGUGUUACUGCGAAGGGGGGACGGAGAAGGCUAUGUUGGCCGGGCGACGGUUGUCCCGGUUUAAGCGUGUAGGCUGGUUUUCCAGGCAAAUCCGGAAAAUCAAGGCUGAGGCGUGAUGACGAGGCACUACGGUGCUGAAGCAACAAAUGCCCUGCUUCCAGGAAAAGCCUCUAAGCAUCAGGUAACAUCAAAUCGUACCCCAAACCGACACAGGUGGUCAGGUAGAGAAUACCAAGGCGCUUGAGAGAACUCGGGUGAAGGAACUAGGCAAAAUGGUGCCGUAACUUCGGGAGAAGGCACGCUGAUAUGUAGGUGAAGUCCCUCGCGGAUGGAGCUGAAAUCAGUCGAAGAUACCAGCUGGCUGCAACUGUUUAUUAAAAACACAGCACUGUGCAAACACGAAAGUGGACGUAUACGGUGUGACGCCUGCCCGGUGCCGGAAGGUUAAUUGAUGGGGUCAGCGCAAGCGAAGCUCUUGAUCGAAGCCCCGGUAAACGGCGGCCGUAACUAUAACGGUCCUAAGGUAGCGAAAUUCCUUGUCGGGUAAGUUCCGACCUGCACGAAUGGCGUAAUGAUGGCCAGGCUGUCUCCACCCGAGACUCAGUGAAAUUGAACUCGCUGUGAAGAUGCAGUGUACCCGCGGCAAGACGGAAAGACCCCGUGAACCUUUACUAUAGCUUGACACUGAACAUUGAGCCUUGAUGUGUAGGAUAGGUGGGAGGCUUUGAAGUGUGGACGCCAGUCUGCAUGGAGCCGACCUUGAAAUACCACCCUUUAAUGUUUGAUGUUCUAACGUUGACCCGUGAUCCGGGUUGCGGACAGUGUCUGGUGGGUAGUUUGACUGGGGCGGUCUCCUCCUAAAGAGUAACGGAGGAGCACGAAGGUUGGCUAAUCCUGGUCGGACAUCAGGAGGUUAGUGCAAUGGCAUAAGCCAGCUUGACUGCGAGCGUGACGGCGCGAGCAGGUGCGAAAGCAGGUCAUAGUGAUCCGGUGGUUCUGAAUGGAAGGGCCAUCGCUCAACGGAUAAAAGGUACUCCGGGGAUAACAGGCUGAUACCGCCCAAGAGUUCAUAUCGACGGCGGUGUUUGGCACCUCGAUGUCGGCUCAUCACAUCCUGGGGCUGAAGUAGGUCCCAAGGGUAUGGCUGUUCGCCAUUUAAAGUGGUACGCGAGCUGGGUUUAGAACGUCGUGAGACAGUUCGGUCCCUAUCUGCCGUGGGCGCUGGAGAACUGAGGGGGGCUGCUCCUAGUACGAGAGGACCGGAGUGGACGCAUCACUGGUGUUCGGGUUGUCAUGCCAAUGGCACUGCCCGGUAGCUAAAUGCGGAAGAGAUAAGUGCUGAAAGCAUCUAAGCACGAAACUUGCCCCGAGAUGAGUUCUCCCUGAC
rnacentral:rRNA from 1 species